rnacentral:lncRNA from 1 species
GACAGACAGACGCAUGCAUAGGGGAGAGUGGGUCUGAAAAGUCUGCAAAGUGUUUGGCACAAGCUGCACAUCUAUCCCGAGCUGCGUUCUCAGAGCAUGUGCAGGCCAGCUGGCUGGAGUGUUUACGGACAUUUUCAACCACUCACUAUACCAGCCUGUCAUCCGCACUUGCUUCAAGAUGGCCACCAUUGUUCCUGUACCCAAGCAAGCUAAGGUAACUGAACUAAAUGACAAUCGCCAAGUAGCACUCACUUCUGUCAUCAUGAAGUUCUUUGAAAGUCAAGGACCAUUUCAGCACCAUCAUACCCGACACACUUGACCCACUACAAUUUGCAUACCACCCCAACAGAUCCAAAGACGACGCAAUCGCCGUUGCACUAUCCCACCUGAACAAGAGGAAUACCUUGGGUCUCCUCCCUGUGCAACUGGGUCCUAGAUUUCCUGAUGGGCUGACCCCUGGUGGUGAGGGUAGGCAACAACACCUCCACCGUGAUGAUCCUCAACACAUGGGUCCCCCAGGGGAGUGUGCUCAGCUCCCUCCUGUACUCCCUGUUCACCCAUGACUGCGUGGCCACGCAUGACUCCAACUCUAUCAUAAAGUUUGCUGAUGACAUGACAGUGGUAGGCCUGAUUACCAACAACAACGAGACAGUCUACAGGGAGGAGGUUAGUGCGCUGGCGUAGUGGUGCCAGGAAAAUAACCUCUCCCUCAAUGUCAACAAAACUAAGGAGCUGAUCGUGGACUACAGGAGACAGAAGGGGGAGCACCCCCCCAUCCUCAUCGACGUGGCUGCAAUGAAUAGGGUCAAAAGCUUAAAGUUCCUCGGCGUGCACAUCACUGAGGACCUGAAAUGGUCUCACCACACCAACACUGUGGUGAAGAAGGCGCAACAGCACCUCUACAACCUCAGACGGCUGAAUAAAUUCAGCAUGGCCCAUAAGACCUUCAAAAACUUCUACAGAUGCACCAUUGAGAGCAUUCUGUCUGGCUGCAUCACCACCUGGUACGGAUACUGCACCGCCCUCAACCGCAUGGCUCUCUAGAGGAUGGUGUGGUCAGCCCAACACAUCAUCGGGGGCAAGCUGCCUGCCCUCCAGGACAUUUACCGCAUUCUGUGCCAAACACACAGGUAGC